UACGUAGGGCGCAAGCGUUGUCCGGAAUUAUUGGGCGUAAAGAGCUCGUAGGCGGUGUGUCACGUCGGCCGUGAAAACCUGGGGCUUAACUCUGGGCGUGCGGUCGAUACGGGCAUCACUAGAGUUCGGCAGGGGAGACUGGAAUUCCUGGUGUAGCGGUGAAAUGCGCAGAUAUCAGGAGGAACACCGGUGGCGAAGGCGGGUCUCUGGGCCGAUACUGACGCUGAGGAGCGAAAGCAUGGGUAGCGAACAGG
rnacentral:rRNA from 1 species